GAUAAGCCUGUAGACGCUUCUGAUUCCCUUUUCGGGACGGGGGUUCAAUUCCCCCCAUCUCCAUCA
rnacentral:tmRNA from 1 species